UUUUUCUGGAAUUCAAAAUGUAAUGUCAAGCAUUUCUUUGCAGAUUUUAUUUGGGAAAAUUCGCGAUUCACACGCUGCCUCGGCAAUAACUGCUAGCAUUGACGGAAAGGAUUUUAAUAUAAAAAGUUUUUGUUCAAUUUUAUAGAAGAGAAUUAAACAUUAUGAUAGACUUUGUGACUGCACGCUUGUUUCAGUCUUUUUCUAAGUUUCUUAUUCGCAUUUUUCAUUGCCAUUCCAUGUGUGGAAAUGAAAAGUUAUCAUUUUUACUAAUGUUCAGAAAAAAAGUUUUACAUAGAAUUUACAUUCUAAAAUUUUAAUUUUGUUAUGAUUCAUAACAACUUGUACGCGGUUUUCUUAUAAAGUGAUUGUUAAAAGUAAUAUCUAAAAAUGCGUUUUUUAAGGGUAAGAGUUUCUUAUUUAAAGGUUGUUUAAGGAUUCUACGAGGAGAGUUUCAGGACUUGUUUAAGAGUUUUAAUAGAAGGAUAGACGAAUGAAUAUUGUAGAGCUUUUAUAAGAAGGUUUAAGGAUAGAUCCUUUUUUGUCAAUUGUAUUGUAUCAGAAAAAUCUUUCUAUAUAGAAUUUGACCAAUAAACAUUUGAUGUUAAUUCUUGGCUCCAUUGAAGACAGCAUGGCUUUUGAACUCAGAUUUAAGACAUACGUUUCCCAGAUUAUCCAGAAUAGCACAGAAAGGAUCCUGGAUGUGUGCGGCAGCUAAAUCGAGCACAGAAUAAAAAGUGACAGAGAGGUUAGGCAGGGUUUCAUUGAAAUACCUUGGCAUGUUUCUCCUUUGAAGCCAAGUGCACAGGUGCAUUUGAAAUCACGAUCCGUUUCAACACACUUUGCUCCAUUCAUACAAGGAUGUGAGACGCAACUCAGAGGUACUGAAAUAAGAAUUAUUCUUCGAUAUUUUCCAAUCUUACUUAUGAUAGCAUUAUCGAAUGUUUUUUAAUAGCCUGGGUAUGACUGUUGAGACAAACGAUUGUCUGUUGAAACAUGGCCGGAACCUCCAUAGACAGGCCAGAAUCUAACCCCUCCCCCAAUCAAAAUUAAGAUGUAUUCGUUUUGGUUACUAGUUCUCAUUCACAUAAGUCAAAGAUUGUAGCUUUAUGGAUCUAAUCUCCAAGAUGGUUUUUUGUCAGCGAGAAAGAAUCGUGUAAAAUGGAAGGACAAAUUUUUGAGGUACAAAACACUACAAAAUAUCUAACCUUACAGCAUCUUAUGUGAUAAAUCUACUGUUUUAUGUGUUAACAGCAUCGAUUGUUACCAUUACAUUAUGUGUUACUAGGGUCAAGCUAAAUCGAUGUGAUAGAUGUUAACUUACCGUGACAAUUGACUCCUUUGUAGCCAUAUGAGCAAAUACAUUUGUAAUCCGCGCCAACUUGGACACAGAUUCCACCGUUUUCACAUGGAUUCUUCUUACAGAGGUCUGGGACUAGUAAAUAAGCAGACAACGUAUCCAUGAAAUUGUGCUUACAUGUUGUUAUCAAGCUAACUGCUCACUUGCUAUAUACAAAAGGUCACGUUGCUCUUCGGGAAAUCUAGUAUACUGUUUCUUUGAAAUAGGUCGUGCCAUGUUGGUUAUAGACAAUUAAAGGUACAAAAUUUGUAUCAUUCUAUGUAAUGCUAAGUGGCCAGCUACGCUGUUUAAAAGGAAUCAUUUUAUAAGGGACCUACAUGUGGAAGCUCGAAAAAAUAAUGAACUUAAGAAACUGGAUCUUGAGCUAGGCUCCUUAUGCAACAAGCUUGUAGCGCAGGCAAGUAACUGCGGGCUACGGACUCACACCGUGGUGUUGUUUACCGAAUGUUUACCAGGGACUUAAAACACAGAACUUACUUGAACAAUCUUCACCAUGGUAACCAUCCAAACAUUGGCAGCUAAAGCCACGAUCAAGCAUAACACAAGUAGCGCCAUUUUUACAUGAAGUAGCGGGACAUGUUGUUUGCUUUGUCACCUGCUUGACAACAGUUGCUGCAACGCAAAAUAUAUUAUAGCGAAGUUUGCAUUUCACAUAAAUAUUUUCAUCAACAGUAGUUAAAAUUAUCUAAAAUUCUUAGGUUUCUUGACUGGGGCUUCGAGGGCCAAGCGCUAACUAUUCAUUUUCUAUCAAACCUCCAUAGACUGUUAGUUCGCGUCCAUAUUAUGGUCAAUGGUACCAAUGCUUUAGUUGCGGUUUAAUCUUUGCUUCAUAUAUACCUCUUGGUACAAGCAAUUAAACAAGUAUUAUAGAUAAAGAGAUAUACAACGAAGACAUAACGUACUUGUAUUACAACUGCAAUCUGCGCACGAGAAUCCUUCUCUGCAAAGGCAUUCAAAAGAGGUUCCCACAUCCUUGCACAAGCCGCCAUUCUUGCAAGGGCUAUCCCGGCAAGGGCUGAUUUUCUCUAUAAAGAGAGACACAUAUUUGAGCACAUUCCACAAAGUACUUUUCUAUGCAUAAUGUGUCUUUCUCCUAACCAGGAAUUUUCUCUAUUCAGGGGGCUAAUUUUCUUGGCAUAAAUGUUGCGGGGACGAAAAGAGGAAUUAAACCGCGAGUCAAAACGUCAAAGAGCAUGCGUAAUAACGAGUGUGAUAAAUACACUCUUUUCUUUGCUUUGAUAAAAAGAAAGGGGGUGCUAAAAGAAGGUGCGAAGGGGGUGCUGAAAGAGGGCGAGAAAGGGAUGAGAGCAGGAGUUACAAGAGAAUCCAAAAGGGGGUUAAAGGGGAUAAAAAAGGAGUGAGUAGGAUGUUAGGGGGGGGAGAGAAAGGUGAAAAGGGGAUAAGGUGAAAGAGGUAAGAGGUGGAUAAGAAGGAGGGGGGAAGAGAGAAAAAAAAUGGGUGAGAGGUGGCCUGUUUUGUCUUCGCAACAAAAAGUAACUCCAGUAGGACCUGGUGUUGGCUAAUGACAUAAAUCAAUAUGCCUCGAUCCUAAAGUAGUUGUUUUGUAGAAGAGUAACUUACCUUAAAAAUUCGUUUUUCGAUUUUAAUUCACUCCUAAAUUUUAAUGGGUUAACUUGAACUUUGCAAAGAGCGUCGCGUGGAUUCACCAACAUUUUAAAAAGCUUCAAAUUUUAAAUAAAAUAACCUUACGGCUUUUAGUGAUUAAAUGAGCUUGUAACAUACAGGAAACUCAACAGAUAAAACAACGCUUUUUAGUUUGAAAUCGUGUUUGGGUCAAUGAUCAAUGAUGUUUCAUGCAUCUUUCUCCAAAAACUUGUCAAUGGUCAUAUUGAAUUUAUAUGCAAUAUUCCAUCCAAUUUUAAAUGAAACUCGUUCCAACAUACCUUCGCAUAGUUUUCCUUCAUAUUCUGCAGAACAUUGGCAGUUGAAAUCAGAUUCUAACUCAACACAUGUGCCACCGUUUCGGCAAGGAUUCGAAAAGCACGAGGCGGGAACUAAAUGAAAAAUAAAGACUCGAUAAACAUUUAACACGAUGGCAUACUGAGCAACAGAAAACGUCAAAGUUUCCAUUGUCAUUGCCAAUGAACUUAUAACAUUAUAAUUGUCUAUGGUAUAACACGAACAGUAUAAAAGAGCGGAAUAACAUGAACGCAAACGAUAUUAUGAUUUCUCUUUGACUAUAUUGUGUGCUAUUAUGAGAUUAUGCUAGAUUUUCUCAGAAAUAUAGUUAUUUGAUUGCUACUUUCUCGACGUUAGAGAGACUCGCGUAAAUACCGACUAACUUAAUUUGCAUAGACAUUUUAAAACGCAUUUAAAAAUGAAGAGGUACUAUAUGUUGGCAAAAUGGAUCUGCAAAUAGCUACUGCACGGCUGUUUCUGAUAGGGGGAGGCUCGUGCCCCCUGUGACUCUGAUUUUCAUUUAGUUCCUAUCUAUUGAGACUAAGUUCCUAUCUAUUUGCUUGUUUUCCAGUCCCCUAACCCCAUUAGAGGUCCGGAGCACAGGCUACUAUUUAUUUGAACUUUCAAAUAUUACAAACUACAUUCAGUUUCCACAAAUUUUAUUACUGUUUUAUUCCGUUGUAUCGGCAUGGUUUUAGAAACCAUUUAAUUUCUCCCACUUCCUAAAAGGCGCUCAAAUUCAAGAGUGCUUUCCUUGAGUUUUCAAUGAAAUAUCGAGACCUACGUGAACAGCUUGGGCCUUUGUAAUCCGCCUGGCAUGAACAUAGGUAUCCAUUAUCAUGAAGAGUGCAGGCUCCAUCGUUCUUGCAUGGAUUUGGUUUGCAUGUUACAGCAGGAACUGAAAUAAGAAAGUAACAGGUUUCAAUUCAUACUAAUGUGAGACAUGACAGGGCUGUUAUUGUGCACGAUGAUGCAGUGCUAAGCUUAGUCCAAGAUCAAGUGGCCUACUAAAAAUUUUUAAAAUGAAUCCAGAAAUUCUUUUAUCUUUGCUUGUGCAACUUCAGGACUUGGGUUAACAUAAGCUAUAAUUGCAAUCGAGCAAUUUUAAUCUUAAUUGAAACUUUUUUAGUUGAACUUUAUAUCUAUAACUUCCUUUCCUAUUUUAUCGUAAAAAGUACAGAUUAAACUUGGGAUGAUAAAAGGGCAGCUGUUAGAUUGAAAUAUGCAGUCAGCUGGGAUACAGUAAUCGAAAUAUGUUGCAACUUGUGAUUGAGACAGUAGACGUUUUCGAGAGAAGCGUCUAUAACAUCUUAGAGUUUGAUGUAACUGUUAAGGAAUUUCCGCCAUACUUUCACAAUAAUGUCCGCGAAACCCGCUUCUACAACUACACUUGAAGCUUGCGCCUCUGUGGUGGACACACGAUCCUCCAUUGAGACAUGGUCGAUGGUGGCAAGGGUUGUGGUGGUGGUGAUGAUGAUGAUUAUGAAGACCCAGGGACAGAACAUCAUCGCCUAGGUUUAACAUGCCUUCAUUUCCUGCAAUAACAAAUACGUCACACAUUAAUGGUCAGGGUUUUUCUCGAUGUCACCCUUCCAAGGCAGAAACAGGUUUGGUCAGUCUUGAUAGCAAAAUCAAGGUCACAGGUCAGGCAGUAUAUAAUGAGAAAUUUAAGUAGAGACUCAUUCCGCAAAAAGUUGAUCUUCUUUUAGGUAUGGUUAUUACCGCCACAACCAAGGCAGUAGGGUGAUCGAAGAAUACUUGAUGUAAGCAAAGUACGACCAACUGGGACGGAAUCGCACCUUUAACCAUUCCCCCCCUCCUAGACCAGGUAUACCCGUUCCUGGCAGUCAAGUGCGUAAACUAUUUGUCAAAUUGAAGCAAUAACAUUCAUUUUCUUAAGUGAAUUGAUUGAUUAAUAACUUGAUACCAAUUGCGCGUAAAGAAGGUGAUUUCUUUUGUUGGGUAGGUGAUUCACUUGGAUGUGAGUAAUUGACUGCCUUAAAAGUACACAUGAGGUAAGAUAUACAUUUACAAAAUGUUGAAGUGUAAAGGAAUGUUCUGGCGCCGCGUCCUAGAUAAAGUGGCUUUACUUAUAAGUAAAGUAUAGUAUACCAACACACUUGUAUUUGCAAUUCAAUUUUACUCACAGAAAUCUGGGGUUGUAUAUGGUUCCAUUUAGUUUUUUAGCUUUAUUAAAACGAUUUCUUGAUUGCAAGACAGGUACGUUUGUAACGAAUUUCUAUGCUGGUCACAGUGAGUAUAUCAAAAUAGAAAUCUACCAAGAUCGUUAGGUAAAUUGUACCUUCAAUAACUUACUGCAGUAACUAACAGUAUCUGUUUACAACAGAGACAUUAGAUUUAGAUCAGUCUCUCUAUCCCAUGAAUAUAUUUUUUUAGCUCCACAUGCUACAGUUUUAAGUUUGGCAAAGUAGUAAGAAACUGUGGUAGGAACUACUGGACGGGAAGAACCCACCCCGGGUAUUGUAUUUGCAGUUAGGUUAUAGUAGGACAAAUUAAAUACUCUUCAGGUGUAGGUUUGUCCCUUACCUCCCAUUGCAAAAUAAACAGUAAAGUAAAUAUAGGCUGCCUACCGUAUGCGUGUGAGAUAUCGUGGAAAGCAUUGGGAGAAAGCUCUUGAAAGUUAUUUGGAAGGUCAACCAGCUCAGACCCAGCAGGCAACGAUUGCUGUGCGAAAUUUCCUUCAUCUGCAUCAUCAGCAAUAAUCACUGGGUUGUGGCUGCCGAGCCCAUACAGACUGCUCCUCCGAAAUUUUGGAGUGGGUACUGUAUCCUUAGCUGUACCUUUUUUUUCUUGUGCAAACGGAAUUGUAUGCGCAAAACCCUUUGCAGCGAUUUUUUUAAUUCUUUGUGAAAACCAUUCAGGGUACAACCUUAAGUUUCUCCUUUGAACUUCAAUGUUUUGUGUGUUUUUUGCAGACGAGGAAUCAUGGUUGACUGCGUCUUGUGAUCUUGAUUUGCUCUUAUCGAUAAGAAAUGCUCCAAACUCUGAUUCUUGUGGUAAAGCAUCGUUUUCUCCAUUUGCUGCAAAAAAACACCACGAUAAAAAGACAAAAUGUAUAGCUAGCAACAUAACUAAAGUUUUUUUUCAAGUAAACUUGUGCAAUUUCAUACUAUCUACCAUUUUGUCCCGUACAAGUAGAUAAGAAGCGCGGGGUAUGUUAAAUGAUGGCACCAGCUCAAUUUUACACAUGACUGGGCAGCAAAAAUUGCCCCUUUAGCUGCUCGAUGAACCGAUGCUUAUGACAUUAGACCGGGUCACCCGUCGACACAAUGAAAGUUGUAAAUAAGUGGAUUUAUUGCAACGACAGCACCUAUUAACAUCAAUUUUAAAGCAGGCAAAGGUUAGUGUGUGCGGCAAAAGAAACGAAAAUAUUUGACAAUAUUUAUGUUUAUGUUAGGUUUAGAUGCCUAAUAAACCCUAUGGUUCUAUGGUAGAAAGGUAUCAAAAAGUCAAGGUGAAAUGGAAAAUAUCAAUGUUUUAGUUUCAAUUCUGAAAGCACAAAAACGACCAAAAAGAGAAUGAGAGGCAAUAAAAAGCUUGGGUCUAAAGCCAAAUGUGCAUUAAGCGAAACGCAAAAUGCAUUAAACUCAGCGAAAGCAAGCGACCAUCGAAUAGAGAGCAUGCGGACAUGAUUAUUUUAAACCCAUGCCCUGGCCGCUGCGUUUCGCUCAGCAGUUCAAUUUGGUUGAUUUUUUCAGCGAUCGCCAGCGAAAAGUUACGUAAUUUUAUGCAGAUUGCAAGAUGGCAAGCUUUGAACAGUUGUUGUCUCAGGAAGAUCAAGGCAGAUCUGUGGACAGCAUAGAGCAGAUGUCAAAAGAUAGAAAUUCUGUAUCUCGUAUUUUUAAUGAAUAUUUUUAAGAUAUCGAGGGAAAAACUCAUGAUCGCAAAGUUUCAUCUCCAAAAUAAGGUGAUGAAAUUCGUCUCUCUUUUAACGUUCACAAAAUAACUUUGUCGCCUUCUGGACUCUAUAUUUGCAACAUAAUCUCUGUCUUAUAGCUAAAAGAAACGCAAAACGCUGCCUAUUCGCCAUGUAUGAUGUUGAUUAAGGGCACACGAAGGCGCCAGAAAUGAAGAGGGAAACAUCUUUAACCGCAUUUCGCUGGUGAACAAAGGAAAUAAUGGAAAUUCAACUGCCAGCCGCGCAAAGCGAUCAUUGAGUUUCGCUUUAAUGGAGAUUGGCCUUCAAUUUUUGCAACUUCCAGCCAACUGUAAACUCCCCCCACCCCAAAUUGUGAUGUCCCCGAUCAUCGUUCUUAUGCUGUUAAGUGAUUAGUGAUACUAAAGCAUGGCCACCUUUUCACUGCAGUAAUUCACUUCUUAAACGAAAAAUGCCUGUAAAUGCCCUUUGCUUUAUACUGGAGUUUAAAUACAUUUUUUCAAUCAAUGUCUUACUGUAAUGCAGCACUCCAAUUGUAAAUUUAACCUAAUGUGAAAUAAGGAAAAUUUUUAAACCCCUAAAGGUUGAUUUGCCGGUAAGGAAUAUCAUUCCAGACCGCCCCUGAUGGUCCAAGGCUAGGGGUCUAAGAAGAUGUCGAACAAACCAAUGUUUCAGCAAAAAAUUGUUACAGACCACUCCCUUCACAGCGCCAAAAAACAACCUGUAGUUGAAAAUGAAAAAUGAAUAAGUUUCUCGUUUGUACGCUCCGAUGGCUGGUUUUUUCAAACAUAAGAACAGAGUCCUAUGUAGCUUUUUGGGCUUCCCUUUUUCAUUUCAGUUCUCUUCAUGGCCUUAAAUCGUUUCAGGCAAAACGGGUAAAAACUGUUUUAUCCAACCUUAGGUAGGUAAGUAAAAAUAAAAUAUGCUAAAGGUUCAAAGAAAGUCCAUUCUUCUAGCAUCAAAAUUUGCAAAGUCGGAAUGACAUCUAACAUCAACAACGACAUGAAACUUUCAGUGGCUUGUUUAUGAUCCUUCCUUUUUGACUUGUCUUCGGCAUCUUCGCAGCGUUCCGGCAUUAUAUCAUCUCGCUUUAAUGAUUCGUCUAUAAAGGCUCCUCCGCCUCUCCACUCCAAUCUUCUCUUUCCACUGUGGAAUUAUGCGGCUCUGGUACCCAGGGUACUUCAGUAAGCGCUCCAUCGCAGCGCAUCUGAAAACGAUCAUUCAGUUUUCUAGGCAUUGUAAAAAACUGCAUGAAGUGGAGAAUGAGUCUCUCGAUUGAUUCUUGGAAUCAGGACCGCCGAUAGGGGGGAAACCUUAUAAAGUAACGAUUUCCAUUUUUAAGAAUGGAAUUGAUCAAAGGUAACCAAAGUAUGCCUUCAAAAUGUUUCAAGGUAUACUUAAAACGUUUUAACUAAUUACAAGCAAAUGAGUGCAAUGUAUUUUAAAGGGCCUCUUCAGCCAAAAAACAAUUUUUUUAUUGACUAAAACGUUAGCAUCUGGUGCAUGUAUUAUGGCAUGUUUUUGCAAAAUUCCAAGUAGUUUUGAAGUAAUAAUGCUUUAAAGUUGCACCUUUCCGAGAAAAGAACGACAAAAGCCGAAUCAGUUUGGUGACAUUCUGACGUCACAGUGUGCGGCUCUCGUUCACCAUGAAUUUCGUAUAUCUUCCACCGAAUCGUGAAGGAGUCAUUGUCACGCGUUGAUAACUGCAUCUAAAUCUAGAGCAGGAGCUUUUUAGGAUCGAAAAGUAUUAAAUGUUUACAAUCAUUCUAAGUUUGCGGGUCGGAAUGUGUCAAUGCUGUGUCACGACUUUGUUUUGAUCACCUGUGUAGGCCCACAAAGCUACGGCUUCCUGUUCCAGCUCUUCCCUCGCGUAUAAUUAAUCGAAAUUGACACUCCAGUUGUUCUCCAGAAACGAUGAACAACUGAAGGCUUCAAAAUUGAUAUCUGAAAUGUUCAAACUAAAAGCCGUUGGAACAGAACUGAGAGUACCAUCACUUGCAGUGUUCAAUUUGCGAAUCGCCGUCAUAUAUCAUUGCCGUCUUUCGAUUCGGUUUGAGGCAAGACGAACGAAAUACACUAUGACGUCAAAAUUGCGACAGAUUGUCACCAAACCGAAAAUUUUUUUGUUGGUUAAUUCAAUUCAAUUAUCGAAAUGCAAGAGCUUAUAUCUCACAAACUGUAAAAAGUAUCAAAAAACAAAUAACGAAUUCGUGAUCAGCAGGUUCAACUCCUUUAGAUUAGCCAAUAAAAUGCAAGUGCAAAUUUUGGCUGGAGAGACCCUUUAAGCUAAUGGAAGGGCUUGGUCGCAUAAAUUUUGCACUCAUUUUGUACUCAUUUUGCCUCUGCUUUCCAAUCCCAGGGCCUUCAAAACCUCUUGUUGUCCCUGCUUAUAAUGAAUGCAUAACGAGCAAAGAUACUUCAUUUGGAUCAGGACUCACCGGAUCAGGAAAAAGUUGAUCCUAACAGCAGAAUUUUUUGAUAAUGAUUAUUGUUGUUAAGGGAUUUCCUUUUCGAUUAGAGACCAUAUUACGGCCAACGAUCACGAGCAUAUUUUGCGCAGGGGUGGACUGGCUGGUCGGGCUAUUCGGGCGAUCGCCCGAAGGGCCGGUCGGUUUAAGGGCCGGCUGAUAAAUGUGCAAGAAAAUAAAUUAGCUUAAAAAGUGAAUGCGAGGCAAAAAACUAUACCCAUGCGUUGAUCUGUUUGCCUUAAAUUUUCAGAGAUUUUCAGAGACAGGGAUUUUCCGGGAAAGAAUAAAUAUACACGCGAGUACUCCAAAACCAUCAAACUUAUGAAUUCAUUAUUGUCACCGCAGCCCAAACACACUCCUUCAGGAAAAAUAUUAUUAUAUUUAUCAUAUUCUUGUUAUAUUUUCUCUUGACGGUAUUUCCUUUUUGGCGACAUAUUAUACGGUAACACCCCUGUUUCAAUGCGAUACAUAAGAUUUUAACCUGCCCUGAUGCCUUUUUAUUUAGCUUUUGCUUGAAGCUGGUCAUGUCUUUGCCUAUGCACAAGCUAUUGCUCAAUGUAAUAAAUUAAAAAGUCCAAAAAUUGGAGUUCACUAAGCGAUUUGCUCUGUGAUGUGGAGUAAUGAAGAGGACAAGGGAAGUACGUAGAACAAGGGAAGAGCAAAAAAACUUCAACCAAAGGUGGUGCACAGAAAUUUCUUGAGGAAAAGCUGCGAGACUUAAAAAAGGAUUCAGCUACGAUACAAAUCUUUUUUUAUCAAGCAAAAGCCACAAACGUCACAAAAAACAGCAGGGUCUUGCUCUUUUCAAUAAACUCAUAUUAGUUAUGGUAAGUUUAUUAGGCCUAUACUAUCAUAAGUCAAAUGCACCCCCCCCAACAGGGGUAUGGUGCUGCACGAUAAAAUUUCAACAGGGGUCCCCAUGUUUUCUUUUUGGGGUCAGAAAUUGACAGCUUGAUAUUUUUGGGUUGCUGAAAAUCAUUGUGGUUUUUCGGAGGAUUAGGAAAUUAAUUGUCACAAGUUGAGUGUGAUAGAAGCUUUUCCACCUCAAAUAUAUAAAGAACAGAUAACGUAGUAAUUUUUCGCAGCCAAACCUGGAGUCCUUCAUGUUAAUGUUCUUAGAAAAACACCUGUUAGAUGACAUCCAGAACGAUCACAUUAUCAACAUAUAAGAUCCUGUAUUUAG